GAUGAACGCUGGCGGCGUGCCUAAUACAUGCAAGUCGAGCGAACAGACGAGGAGCUUGCUCCUUUGACGUUAGCGGCGGACGGGUGAGUAACACGUGGGUAACCUACCUAUAAGACUGGGAUAACUUCGGGAAACCGGAGCUAAUACCGGAUAAUAUUUCGAACCGCAUGGUUCGAUAGUGAAAGAUGGCUUUGCUAUCACUUAUAGAUGGACCUGCGCCGUAUUAGCUAGUUGGUAAGGUAACGGCUUACCAAGGCAACGAUACGUAGCCGACCUGAGAGAGUGAUCGGCCACACUGGAGCUGAGCCACGGUCCAGACUCCUACGGGAGGCAGCAGUAGGGAAUCUUCCGCAAUGGGCGAAAGCCUGACGGAGCGACGCCGCGUGAGUGAUGAAGGUCUCCGGAUCGUAAAACUCUGUUAUUAGGGAAGAACAAACGUGUAAGUAACUGUGCACGUCUUGACGGUACCUAAUCAGAAAGCCACGGCUAACUACGUG
rnacentral:rRNA from 1 species